rnacentral:rRNA from 1 species
GACGAACGCUGGCGGCGUGCUUAACACAUGCAAGUCGAACGGAAAGGCCCUGCUUUUGUGGGGUGCUCGAGUGGCGAACGGGUGAGUAACACGUGAGUAACCUGCCCUUGACUUUGGGAUAACUUCAGGAAACUGGGGCUAAUACCGGAUAGGAGCUCCUGCUGCAUGGUGGGGGUUGGAAAGUUUCGGCGGUUGGGGAUGGACUCGCGGCUUAUCAGCUUGUUGGUGGGGUAGUGGCUUACCAAGGAUUUGACGGGUAGCCGGCCUGAGAGGGUGACCGGCCACAUAGGGACUGAGAUAGGGCCCAGACUGCUACGGGAGGCAGCAGUGGGGAAUGUUGCACAAUGGGCGGAAGCAUGAUGCAGCAACGCAGGGUGCGGGAUGACGGCCUUCGGGUUGUAAACUGAUUUCGCCUGUGACGAAGCGUGAGUGACGGUAAUGGGGAAAGAAGCACCGGCUAACUACGU